rnacentral:rRNA from 1 species
UUAAAAAGUUAAUUGUUCAAUCAAUUUAAUUUGAGAUAAAAAAAUUAUUAAAUUUAUAUAUUAAAAAAAAUUUAAAAAAAAUAAUUUAAAUUUUAUUAUAAUAAUAAAAAAAAAUUAAUUAUUAUGAUAGUUGAUAGUAUUGUGAAAGAAAAAUUUUAAUUAAUUAAAAGAAAAAUUUAUUUUUUGUACCUUGUGUAUCAGGGUUUAUUAAAAUUUUAUAAAAAUUUAUUAUUCUCGAAUUUAAAAGAGCUAAAAAGUUAUUAUUUUUAAUGUAAAAUAAUUAUAUUUAAUAAUUUUUUUGUAAUGAGAUGUUAUUCGUUUUUAAAUAUAUCUAGUUUUUUAAGAAAAAAAUUUAAUUUUAUUAUUAUUAAUAUAAUUUUAAUUAAAUAAUUUUAUAUUUAUAAUAGUUAAUAUUUUUAGGGAUUAGCUUGAAAAUAAAAAUUUAUUGAAAUAAAAAAUUUACAAAUUUUUUAGGAUUAGAAAUUUCCAUAAUUAAAGGUAUGUUAUAAUUUAAUUUAAAUAUUUACAUUUUUUAUUUUUCAUAAAUUUUUUAUUAAAAUAUAAUUUUAAAUUUAAUAAAUUUAGUAAUAAUGAUAAAAUUAGUAUAAUUUUAUUAAUAAAUAAAGGUUAAUUAAAGGUUAAUUAAAGGAAUUCGGCAAAUAAAUUUUCACCUGUUUAAUAAAAACAUGUCUUUUUGGUAUUAAUUUAAGGUCUAGCCUGCCCGAUGAAAAUUUGAAUGGCCGCAGUAUUUUGACUGUGCUAAGGUAGCAUAAUCAUUAGUUUUUUAAUUGUAAGCUGGAAUGAAGGGUUGGAUGAAAAAUUAGCUGUCUCUAAUUAAUUUUAUUAGAAUUUUAUUUUUAAGUUAAAAAGCUUAAAUAGGUUUUAAAGACGAGAAGACCCUAUAGAGUUUAAUAUAUUUAAUUUAUUAAUAUUUAGUAUUAAUUUUUUAUAAUUAGGGUAUAUUUAAUUGGGGUGAUUAAAAAAUUUAAUAAACUUUUUUUAAAAAUUUAUAUUAAUUAAUAAAUUAUUGAUCCAAAAAUUUUGAUUAUAAGAUAAAUUACCUUAGGGAUAACAGCGUAAUUUUAUUAGAGAGUUCUAAUCGAAAAUGAAGUUUGCGACCUCGAUGUUGGAUUAAAAUUUAUAUUUGGUGUAGAAGCUGAAUAAUUAAGUCUGUUCGACUUUUAAAAUUUUACAUGAUCUGAGUUUAAACCGGUGUAAGCCAGGUUGGUUUCUAUCUUUAAAUAUAUAAAAUAUUUUAGUACGAAAGGACCAAAUAUU